UACGUAGGUGGCAAGCGUUGUCCGGAUUUACUGGGCGUAAAGGGAGCGUAGGUGGAUAUUUAAGUGGGAUGUGAAAUACUCGGGCUCAACCUGAGUGCUGCAUUCCAAACUGGAUAUCUAGAGUACAGGAGAGGAAAGUAGAAUUCCUAGUGUAGCGGAGAAAUGCGUAGAGAUUAGGAAGAACACCAGUGGCGAAGGCGACUUACUGGACUGUAACUGACGCUGAGGCAUGAAAGCGUGGGGAGCAAACAGG
rnacentral:rRNA from 1 species